UUAAAAUUACCGCCGGGUAUCUGCCUUUCACUCAUUCCAUUAGGCCAUUGAAGGAAUGAGUGAAAGGCGAUUUUUAUU
rnacentral:ncRNA from 1 species